UUCAGUAAUACUAUACUAUGAUGAGAGCAAGGGUUCCACUGCUACUGUUGUUGGGAAUUCUUUUCCUGGCAUCACUUUCUGUCACCUUCGGCAUUGUUCACCGGGAGCACCAACAGAGCCAGGAAGAGUCGGAUUCAAGAGGAAGAAACAACCCCUUCUACUUCAACUCUGACAGGUUCCAUACUCUGUACACAAACGAAUAUGGUCACCUUCGUGUGCUCCAGAGGUUCGACCAACGCUCCAAACAAAUUCAGAAUCUUGAAAACUACCGUCUUGUAGAGUUCAAGUCCAAACCCAACACCCUCCUUCUUCCUCACCAUGCUGAUGCCGAUUUUCUCCUAGUUGUCCUUAACGGUAAGUAAUCAUCUAAUCCCUACUGACUGAACUUCAUCCCACUAGCUUCUCCUGCACGAAUGAUAAUAAUCAAUUUGUUAAUUACAGGGAGAGCCGUACUCACCUUGGUGAAUGCUGACGGCAGAGACUCCUACAUUCUUGAGCAAGGCCAUGCCCAGAGAAUCCCUGCAGGAACCAUUUUCUUUGUGGUUAACCCUAACGACAACGAAAAUCUCAGAAUAAUCAAAAUGGCCGUACCUGUUAACAACCCUCACAGAUUUCAAGUACUACCUUUUGUAAUUCUCAACUAACUUUUUUUAUUCUAACUUGCAUUUUCUCUCUAAAUGUAACGAUAAAUGUUUGUCAUGUAGGAC
rnacentral:lncRNA from 1 species